rnacentral:rRNA from 1 species
CCGGUGCCGGAAGGUUAAUUGAUGGGGUUAUCGCAAGAGAAGCUCCUGAUCGAAGCCCCGGUAAACGGCGGCCGUAACUAUAACGGUCCUAAGGUAGCGAAAUUCCUUGUCGGGUAAGUUCCGACCCGCACGAAUGGCGUAAUGAUGGCCAGGCUGUCUCCACCCGAGACUCAGUGAAAUUGAACUCGCUGUGAAGAUGCAGUGUACCCGCGGCAAGACGGAAAGACCCCGUGAACCUUUACUACAGCUUGACACUGAACAUUGAGCCUUGAUGUGUAGGAUAGGUGGGAGGCUUUGAAGCGUGGACGCCAGUCUGCGUGGAGCCGACCUUGAAAUACCACCCUUUAAUGUUUGAUGUUCUAACCUGGCGCCGUGAUCCGGCGUGGGGACAGUGUCUGGUGGGUAGUUUGACUGGGGCGGUCUCCUCCCAAAGUGUAACGGAGGAGCACGAAGGUCAGCUAAUCCUGGUCGGACAUCAGGAGGUUAGUGCAAUGGCAUAAGCUGGCUUGACUGCGAGAGUGACGGCUCGAGCAGGUGCGAAAGCAGGUCAUAGUGAUCCGGUGGUUCUGUAUGGAAGGGCCAUCGCUCAACGGAUAAAAGGUACUCCGGGGAUAACAGGCUGAUACCGCCCAAGAGUUCAUAUCGACGGCGGUGUUUUGGCACCUCGAUGUCGGCUCAUCACAUCCUGGGGCUGAAGUAGGUCCCAAGGGUAUGGCUGUUCGCCAUUUAAAGUGGUACGCGAGCUGGGUUUAGAACGUCGUGAGACAGUUCGGUCCCUAUCUGCCGUGGGCGCUGGAGAAUUGAGGGGGGCUGCUCCCAGUACGAGAGGACCGGAGUGGACGCAUCACUGGUGUUCGGGUUGUCAUGCCAAUGGCACUGCCCGGUAGCUAAAUGCGGAAGAGAUAAGUGCUGAAAGCAUCUAAGCACGAAACUUGCCCCGAGAUGAGUUCUCCCUGAGACUGUAAGUCUCCUGAAGGAACGUUGAAGACGACGACGUUGAUAGGCCGGGUGUGUAAGCGCAGCGAUGCGUUGAGCUAACCGGUACUAAUGAACCGUGAGGCUUAACCUU